GAAAGUAAAAGUCGUAACAAGGUUUCCGUAGGUGAACCUGCGGAAGGAUCAUUAUUGUAUAACCGAGGUGCGGGGGCUGUCGCUGACCCGAAAGGUCGUGCACGCCCGAGUGCCCUCACACACAUCCAUCUCACCCCUAUGUGCACCACCGCGUGGGUCCCCCUUUGGCUUGUUCGGAGGGGGGCUUACGUUUUCACACAAACUUUGUAUGCAGUGUAGAAUGUAUUUUUUGUUUUUGCGAUCACGCAAUCAAUACAACUUUCAACAACGGAUCUCUUGGCUCUC
rnacentral:misc_RNA from 1 species